UCACACAAGUAACAGCACAGACAUGACGGCACCCACUCAACUUCUGGUAUUGCUGCUGCUCUGGUUUACAGGUGCCAGAUGUAACAUCCAAAUGACUCAGUCUCCAUCCUCCCUGUCUGCAUCUCUCAGAGAAACUGUCACCAUCACAUGCCUUGCAAGUGAGAAUAUUUAUGGGUAUUUAGCCUGGUAUCAGCUGAAAAAAGAGGGACGUCCUAAUCUCCUGAUUUAUGGUGCAACCAACUUGGCAGAUGGGGUCCCACCGAGGUUCAGUGGCAGUGGAUCUGGAACACAUUAUUCUUUUAAGAUAAACAGCCUGCAGGCUGAAGAUGUUGCAACUUACUUCUGUCAUCAGGAUUUUGAUACUCCCCACAGUGAUUGA